UCCUUCUUCCUGCUCUUGACAGUCGUCAGGUAGGCUGGACAGUUCCUCCUCUAAUGGCCUUCGAUGUUGCAAUGGAAAUACUUUCUCUUAUCAUCGACCUUCUUCAAAAUCUACUUCUUGGGCUUGACCUCAUUCUUUUACUUAUUCAUAGGCUUUUUCUUCUUCUUGAAAGAAGACUCUCUUUUGGAGGAAGCCCACUCCAC
rnacentral:lncRNA from 1 species